ensembl:lncRNA novel transcript
GUGCGUUGCCGGUGGGCGCUUUAGGAAAUUGGUAGGAGGAAAAGCGGCUUCUUUUGAAAAGAAUUCUCUUAGGAAUCUCUGGCUUCAUUGAGGACACAGGUGUAAGCAGAAGCUGUGUUCUCAGCUCCAAGAGGCCGACCCCACGAAAGCCUAAGCAGGUGAAUUUCGUAAAGACGUUGACAGUUGGAAAACCUGUGCUUUCAGCACGUGAUAAAUCUGCAGAGUCAGCAGACAAUGAAGAUUUGGCAUUCAAGAACUCCUCAAAUACUUCUCGAU